UGCAACAUGUGUUUACCUUGCUCAAUUAAUUGCAUGUGGUUUAAUACGCUUAAAAUAGGAUAAAUAGCUGUCAUGCUCAAUAAUCCUUGGAAAUUUUACAGUAUCCUCUGUUGGUGAUAGUGAAGCUUCUGUAAAAAAAAUUCAGCACCAUAUCCUGUUUGAUGCUAUCAGAAACAAGUUUUGAAGUUAUAGCUAGUUAAAUGGAGUAACAACAAUUAAUGAAUAAGAAGGGUAAAAUGGGAAAUGUACAUCUAGGUUGUUAAGAAAUUCAAAAAUAGGAUAACUUUCCAAAUGAGUUUUGAGAAACCCUAAAGUGACCCCACC
rnacentral:lncRNA from 1 species